GGAAGUAGUUCAGUGGUAGAAUACAACCUUGCCAAGGCUUGGGUCGCGGGUUCGAAUCCCGUCUUCC
rnacentral:tRNA from 1 species